rnacentral:rRNA from 1 species
GAUGAACGCUGGCGGCGUGCCUAAUACAUGCAAGUCGAGCGAACGGACGAGAAGCUUGCUUCUCUGAUGUUAGCGGCGGACGGGUGAGUAACACGUGGAUAACCUACCUAUAAGACUGGGAUAACUUCGGGAAACCGGAGCUAAUACCGGAUAAUAUUUUGAACCGCAUGGUUCAAAAGUGAAAGACGGUCUUGCUGUCACUUAUAGAUGGAUCCGCGCUGCAUUAGCUAGUUGGUAAGGUAACGGCUUACCAAGGCAACGAUGCAUAGCCGACCUGAGAGGGUGAUCGGCCACACUGGAACUGAGAAUGGGUACCGACUCCGACGGGAGGCCGCAGUAGGGAAUCUUCCGCAAUGGGCGAAAGCCUGACGGAGCAACGCCGCGUGAGUGAUGAAGGUCUUCGGAUCGGAGAACUCUGUUAUUAGUGAAGAACAUAUGUGUAAGUAACUGUGACCAUCUUGACGGUACCUAAUCAGAAAGCCACGGCUAACUACGUG